CUGGAAUCUGCCGAGUGACGCACACCCGCCCUUAUUUAUAGGGCUGCUGGAUACGCAGGCCCCGCCCACAAAAACUAAUGUGUCCCUCCGCCUCCCAAAGUAGUCCCCAGGAAAAGGUCCCUGUUGUGGCGCGCACUCGCCUUUUCCCCACUCUAAUCCCUCUUCCGCAGGCAAAGGGGUCCCAGAGUUUCAGCGAGGGGGAAUCAGACCCUAAAAAAUCGGCAAAUUUCUGAGGGCGCGGAUGGAUCUGGGACCGUUUUUCGCCCCGGCGCUGCGACCAGGCGUUGAACAGGAAGCUUUGAUCGGUUGUGAAGUAGCCACCGUCUGUGAAGUGAUGUGGAAACGUGCCUCGGGUUAAUUAAACUUCAUUAUACCUUUCAGACAGGCUCUGAACUAAUUUUGUACCGUAUUAAAGAUGGAGUGCACGAAAUCCAA